rnacentral:rRNA from 1 species
GAGUUUGAUCAUGGUUCAGGACGAACGCUGGCGGUAUGCUUAACACAUGCAAGUCGAACGAGACGAGAUGAAAGGAUCCUUCGGGUGACGGAAAUCUUAGAAAGUGGCGAACGGGUGAGUAACGCGUGGGUAACCUGCCCUAUGGAAAGGAAUAGCCUCGGGAAACUGGGAGUAAUGCCUUAUAAUACAUUGAAGUCGCAUGGCUUUGAUGUUAAACGCUCCGGUGCCAUAGGAUGGACCCGCGUCCCAUUAGCUAGUUGGUGAGAUAACAGCCCACCAAGGCGACGAUGGGUAACCGGUCUGAGAGGGCGAACGGUCACACUGGAACUGAGACACGGUCCAGACUCCUACGGGAGGCAGCAGUGGGGAAUAUUGCGCAAUGGGGGAAACCCUGACGCAGCAAUACCGCGUGAGUGAAGAAGGUUUUCGGAUCGUAAAGCUCUGUUAUUGGGGAAGAAAAAAAGACGGUACCCAAGAAGAAAGUCCCGGCUAACUACGUGCCAGCAGCCGCGGUAAUACGUAGGGGACAAGCGUUGUCCGGAUUUACUGGGCGUAAAGGGCACGCAGGCGGUUUUUUAAG